UACGUAGGGAGCAAGCGUUGUCCGGAAUCAUUGGGCGUAAAGCGCUCGCAGGUGGUCCGCUGCGUCGUGCGUGAAAGACCCCGGCUCAACUGGGGGAUGUCGUGCGAUACGGGCGGACUGGAGGCCAGUAGGGGGAUGCGGAAUUCCGGGUGUAGUGGUGGAAUGCGUAGAGAUCCGGAGGAACACCAGCGGCGAAGGCGGCAUCCUGGACUGGUCCUGACACUCAGGAGCGAAAGCGUGGGGAGCGAUCCGG
rnacentral:rRNA from 1 species